UACAGAGGGGGCAAGCGUUAUUCGGAAUCACUGGGCGUAAAGAGUUCGUAGGCGGUUUGUUAAGUCGAAUGUGAAAGCCCUGGGCUCAAUCCAGGAAGUGCAUUCGAUACUGGCAAGCUAGAGUGCAGGAGAGGAAGGCGGAAUUCCAGGUGUAGAGGUGAAAUUCGUAGAUAUCUGGAGGAACAACAGAGGCGAAGGCGGCCUUCUGGACUGUCACUGACGCUGAGGAACGAAAGCGUGGGGAGCAAACAGG
rnacentral:rRNA from 1 species